rnacentral:rRNA from 1 species
GACGAACGCUGGCGGCGCGCCUAACACAUGCAAGUCGAACGAGCGAGAGAGAGCUUGCUUUCGCGAGCGAGUGGCGAACGGGUGAGUAACGCGUGAGGAACCUGCCUCAAAGAGGGGGACAACAGUUGGAAACGACUGCUAAUACCGCAUAAGCCCACGGUGCCGCAUGGUACAGAGGGAAAAGGAGCAAUCCGCUUUGAGAUGGCCUCGCGUCCGAUUAGCUAGUUGGUGAGGUAACGGCCCACCAAGGCGACGAUCGGUAGCCGGACUGAGAGGUUGAACGGCCACAUUGGGACUGAGACACGGCCCAGACUCCUACGGGAGGCAGCAGUGGGGAAUAUUGCACAAUGGGGGAAACCCUGAUGCAGCGACGCCGCGUGGAGGAAGAAGGUCUUCGGAUUGUAAACUCCUGUUGUUGGGGAAGAUAAUGACGGUACCCAACAAGGAAGUGACGGCUAACUACGUGCCAGCAGCCGCGGUAAAACGUAGGUCACAAGCGUUGUCCGGAAUUACUGGGUGUAAAGGGAGCGCAGGCGGGAAGACAAGUUGGAAGUGAAAUCUAUGGGCUCAACCCAUAAACUGCUUUCAAAACUGUUUUUCUUGAGUAGUGCAGAGGUAGGCGGAAUUCCCGGUGUAGCGGUGGAAUGCGUAGAUAUCGGGAGGAACACCAGUGGCGAAGGCGGCCUACUGGGCACCAACCGGCGCUGAGGCUCGAAAGUGUGGGUAGCAAACAGGAUUAGAUACCCUGGUAGUCCACACCGUAAACGAUGAUUAAAUAGGUGGUGGGGGGAUUGACCCCUUCAGUGCCGCAGCUAACACAAUAAGUAAUCCACCCGGGGAGUACGACCGCAAGGUUGAAACUCAAAGGAAUUGACGGGGGCCCGCACAAGCAGUGGAGUAUGUGGUUUAAUUCGACGCAACGCGAAGAACCUUACCAAGUCUUGACAUCCCUCGACAGGCAUAGAAAUAUGUUUUCUCUUCGGAGCAAGAAGACAGGUGGUGCAUGGUUGUCGUCAGCUCGUGUCGUGAGAUGUUGGGUUAAGUCCCGCAACGAGCGCAACCCUUAUAGUCAGUUACUACGCAAGAGGACUCUGGCCAGACUGCCGUUGACAAAACGGAGGAAGGUGGGGAUGACGUCAAAUCAUCAUGCCCUUUAUGACUUGGGCUACACACGUACUACAAUGGCGUUAAACAAAGAGAAGCAAGACCGCGAGGUGGAGCAAAACUCAGAAACAACGUCCCAGUUCGGACUGCAGGCUGCAACUCGCCUGCACGAAGUCGGAAUUGCUAGUAAUCGUGGAUCAGCAUGCCACGGUGAAUA